rnacentral:rRNA from 1 species
UACGGAGGGUGCAAGCGUUAUCCGGAUUCACUGGGUUUAAAGGGUGCGUAGGUGGAUUAGUAAGUCAGUGGUGAAAUCUCCGGGCUUAACCCGGAAACUGCCAUUGAUACUAUUAGUCUUGAAUACCGUGGGGGUCAGCGGAAUAUGUCAUGUAGCGGUGAAAUGCUUAGAUAUGACAUAGAACACCAAUUGCGAAGGCAGCUGGCUACACGAGCAUUGACACUCAGGCACGAAAGCGUGGGGGAUCAAACAGG